CAUGCAAAUGUAUUUAAUAAGGUGACUGAGUUACAGAAAGAGAAGAGCAAGAGGAAGAUUUCAAGGUUCCCCAGAGCACUGAAAGUAGUGGACUAAUGAAGAACAAAAGUGAGUAUGUCAUCUGAGUAUGCAGAGAACAUCACGAUUUUCUGUCCCUAUCUGGGUAAUCAUCUCCAGGCUGAUUAGUGUCCUUCCUCAAGAAAUGACACAAAUAUUAAGUCCAACAUCGGCAUUGAGGCAUGGCCUGGGUCUUCUCCAUUUCAGAUCAAUAUUAUAUUCUUCUCAGUGCAUGGAUACCCACAGGGCAAAGCAGCGAACUAUUAGCAUUUCAUUAACAAUAUGCCACUUCACAAGACUAUUGCUCCAAUGAUUGAUAGCUCAGGUAGGAC
rnacentral:lncRNA from 1 species